GAAGGUACAGCUCAGUGGUAGAGUGCGUGCUUAGCGUGCAGGAGGUCAUGGGUUCGAUCCCCAGUCCCUCCA
rfam:Camelus ferus unplaced genomic scaffold scaffold293, whole genome shotgun sequence.